rnacentral:rRNA from 1 species
UACGUAGGGCGCAAGCGUUGUCCGGAUUAUUGGGCGUAAAGAGCUCGUAGGCGGUUUGUCGCGUCUGCUGUGAAAACCUAAGGCUCAACCUUGGGCUUGCAGUGGGUACGGGCAGACUAGAGUGCGGUAGGGGUGACUGGAAUUCCUGGUGUAGCGGUGGAAUGCGCAGAUAUCAGGAGGAACACCGAUGGCGAAGGCAGGUCACUGGGCCGCAACUGACGCUGAGGAGCGGAAAGCAUGGGGGAGCGAACAGG